ensembl:snRNA U6 U6 spliceosomal RNA
GAUUAGCUUCUGCUGUCAUAUACUAAAAUUGGAACGAUACAGAGAAGAUUAACAUGGCCCCUGCGCAAGGAUGACACUCAAAUUCGUGAAGCGUUCCAUAGUUUU